UACGUAGGGGGCAAGCGUUGUCCGGAAUCAUUGGGCGUAAAGCGCGUGUAGGCGGUUCGGUAAGUCUGCUGUGAAAGUCCAGGGCUCAACCCUGGGAUGCCGGUGGAUACUGUCAGACUAGAGUACGGAAGAGGCGAGUGGAAUUCCCGGUGUAGCGGUGAAAUGCGCAGAUAUCGGGAGGAACACCAAUUGCGAAGGCAGCUCGCUGGGACGUUACUGACGCUGAGACGCGAAAGCGUGGGGAGCAAACAGG
rnacentral:rRNA from 1 species